rnacentral:misc_RNA from 1 species
AAGUCGUAACAAGGUUUCCGUAGGUGAACCUGCGGAAGGAUCAUUAAUGAGUUAGGGUCCUUCGGGGCCCGACCUCCAACCCUUUGAUGUCGAUAACAAACCUUUGUUGCUUUGGCGGGACCGUCCCCCUGUGGGCGCGUCGGCCUUCGGUCCGACGAGCUCCCGCCAGAGUCAAAACCAAAACACUUGUCUUUGAACUGUAAUGUCCGAGUCAAUUGAUAAAUCAAUCAAAA